UACGAGGGGGGCGAGCGUUGUUCGGAAUUAUUGGGCGUAAAGGGUGCGUAGGCGGUUCCGCAAGUCCUGUGUGAAAUCUUCGGGCUCAACUCGAAGUCUGCACGGGAAACUGCGGGGCUUGAGUGUGGGAGAGGUGAGUGGAAUUCCCAGUGUAGAGGUGAAAUUCGUAGAUAUUGGGAAGAACACCGGUGGCGAAGGCGGCUCACUGGCUCAUUUCUGACGCUCAGGCGCGACAGCGUGGGGAUCAAACAGG
rnacentral:rRNA from 1 species